rnacentral:rRNA from 1 species
GACGAACGCUGGCGGCGUGCUUAACACAUGCAAGUCGAACGGGCCCGCUCUCUUUUUUGGGGGUGGGUUGAGUGGCGAACGGGUGAGUAUCACGUGAGUAACCUGCCCCCUGCUCCUGGAUAACUGCUUGAAAGGGCGGCUAAUACGGGGUGUGCCGGCUGGUCCGCAUGGGCCUGGUCGGGAUAGUUUCAUCUUCGGGUGUUUCGGUGGGGGAUGGGCUCGCGGCCUAUCAGCUUGGUGGUGGGGUGAUGGCCCACCAAGGCGGUGACGGGUAGCCGGCCUGAGAGGGUGGGCGGCCACGCUGGGACUGAGACACGGCCCAGACUCCUGCGGGAGGCAGCAGUGGGGGGUAUUGCACAAUGGGCGGAAGCCUGAUGCAGCGACGCCGCGUGAGGGAUGGAGGCCUUCGGGUUGUGAACCUCUUUCUCCGGUGGUGAAGGCCCUGUCCGUUGCGGCGGGGUUGACGGUAGCCGGGUAUGAAGCGCCGGCUAACUACGUG